UAGGAAUAUCCCCUCGUUUGGAAGGACGCAGUGGAAUCUAACACAAUUGAAUCUCAUACCAACUCAGUCGCAGCCGUACUAAGGUUAGGAAUAUCCCCUCGUUUGGAAGGACGCAGUGAAAUCAAACACAAUUGAAUCUCAUACCAACUCAGUCGCAGCCAUACUAAGGUUUUAUCGUCAAUACCUUUCCAAAUAUGUGGAAACGAAAAUCGAAGACAAAAAGAUGUAGUUUCUGUCUAAAUGACAUCCCUCCAUCUACAUUGGAUCAAGACAAGGGAUCCAUUUUAACUUCUGCUGACUUACUUCCGUCCUCUGAAUGGAAUCGGAGAUACGGCAAAAUUACUUUCAUAUAUGGAAACCAUUCCGAGCAAUCAAAUACAGCUGAUGAUCAUUCAAAUGAAUAUAAACCAUAUAAUUUUUCUGAUUCAAAACAUUCUACGACCAUUGCGCAAAAAGAUGAAAUUUGCGCUAAAAAACGACAGGGCGUUGCUCUUAAACUAAGAAAUGGCGUGAAGAAAAAGUGUAACGUUCUUCGAAAAAGAAUCAGGCAAACGUUUUUUGGUGAUGAAUGCAAACGGCCAAUCCAGGAAACACCACAGAAUAUAGACAGUGACAAUGAAACAACAUUGCUGUCUUCAUAUUCAGAUGUUCUUUGCAACAAAGACAAAAUUUCAGCUUUAUCUAUGGAAAAUGGAGACGAGCAGUUGAAAACGGAAUUCGAAAAUGACGAAAAAGAAGA